GGACUACCGGGGUAUCUAAUCCUGUUUGCUACCCACGCUUUCGCGCCUCAGCGUCAGAGAUUGGCCAGCUUGCUGCCUUCGCCAUGGGUGUUCCUCCUGAUAUCAACGCAUUUCACCGCUACACCAGGAAUUCCACAAGCCUCUCCAAUCCUCAAGUCCGCCAGUAUGUAAAGCAGUUCCUGGGUUGAGCCCUAGGGAUUUCACUUCACACUUAACGGACCGCCUACGCGCCCUUUACGCCCAGUAAAUCCGGACAACGCUCGCACCCUACGUCUUACCGCGGCUGCUGGCAC
rnacentral:rRNA from 1 species